rnacentral:misc_RNA from 1 species
GUGUACGAAACGGGUGGCCGGUUUUGCCUCUACAGCCUCUCGUUAAUCGAACCAUCGGCGAAUUUCACGACAGCUGACGGUGUUUCUCGAUGGAACGCAGGCUACGAUAACGGUAUCGAAGAAAGCUAGUUUCCAACAGUAGACCAGGUUAACAAUGAUCGAUGCCUUGGUCCAGGCAAUCGCUAUUUUGUAUUGCGUAAAUCGAAGGUCACCUGCAGCAGGUGUGUUGGAAAUAGUUAAUACGAUGGCUACAUUUUGUAGUAUUCGAGCAAAAUAAUAAGCUGCCUCCUGCAAACAACCAACACACAUUCGGGGAGUCUUAAGCGUAGACCAGAUGAACGAUACAGCGGGAAGUUUCUUCAUACUGUAAGCCGUGGAUUUGCGAACUCGAGAAACCACUCGCAUGCCGUGCAGAACCUUAGCAAUCGUGUGAACCUGAUUUCCGGUAACCUAAAUUCUCGUGUUUUCACGACAAUCAGAGAAACCACGACAUAUCAUUCUAUACCCAUUAUAAUCUCUAUCGAUUGUUUAAGAACAGAUAGAGAAGCGUUCAAAGUAUAAAAUAUUUAAACUACACGUACGCAGAUUAUUUUAUUCGAUGGAAAAAUAAAACUUGGCCGGAUAUAAUGGAUAAAACUUUCUUUCGCGUUUAACUCAUUAAACAGUGGUUCGUCGUAUAUCACAAAUGAUAAUUCAUUGGUAGGUAAAGACCUACGAAGGUGCAGUCUAAGCUGAGGUGGAAAUAACCCUUACCGUGACCGCAGAUCGUAAUUAGCUGCGAGUAUGUCAAGCUGAUACCCAGCAAGACCAACCUAGGCAUCUUGUUAUAGAUUAGGAGGAACUAAUGCGUGUACAGUGGAAGGCGUGUCAGCCAUAACCACCAAUGGCUAUGAAACGCAAGCUACCGAGAAGCUCUACAACGAUAAUGUCAAAGAAAAUCGAAGAUACAAUCCUCGUGGAAUUAACUCACCCUGAGCACAAAACUGUACAUGCGCAUUUCCUCUACAAGUCUACGCGCUUAUGCUGAGUUUCUCCGUACUAUUCGUACGCUUUAAAGAGACUCGAUCGCAUUAAGCUGCAAUUCGAAGCAAUCGAGUAGAAGUUCGCCUGAACGAUCUCUCGCACUACAGUAACUCGCGUGACGUAAGAAUGCAUCUUUAAUUAUUAAAGCUUGUUUUUAAUAAAGCUAAGAGGAUAAAUGGCCAACGCGUCAACGUGGCAAUGUGUAAAAAUUUAAAGAAGAGGAAGGAAAAUUCCGAGUAAUCAGAGUAAAUCAACUAGAUAUCACGAUCUCCGCCGUUUCUUUGAAACGUAUAAAUGAAUAUGUAAGCGAAGUACUGUGCAAAUGCUUAGAUCAACUAAACAUGCUUUCAGGAUACACUCCCCUUAUAGUACUGCUUAUUUAUGGUUUCUCUUGGCUCAUAAAUUUUUGAAGAUACUGCAAUAAAUAGAGCUCUGAUUUAAUAAUAAAUGUUGUAGAAUAUGUAUAAGGUUAUAUAGAGAAAUGGAGAUGAGAAACGUGAAUCAGUUUCGCGAAAUGAAUAAAGAAUAGCGGCAAAUAUACGAACAGGAUAUAUCAAACUAUUUUCGCUAACAUUUCCAAAUAUAUUAUUGCUACUCAAAUAUAUAAUAUAAAAUGUCUUUCGAAAUAUCAAUUAUUUGUAAUCACGCGACACUGAUUCGAGCAAUCGCUUAUUCUUGGACAACAAAUGGUAUUGACAUCAGAUAUUAUUUCACAAAAGUGACAAAUUUUCAUUUAACAGAGUUAUAAGUCCUAAGAUUUUUGCACAGCGGUGUAUACGUAACAUAUCAUAGCUGUAACACGCAUCAUUUGCAAUAGACAUAUAUCAGAUCGUCAACGAUGAAUAGUGGUCAGACAAUUGAAAGACGUAUACGAAGAAGUCAGUGACCCCGAUCGUUUAUACACGACCCAAGAUGUCGAGUGAAAAAGCGGUGUUAAUGCAAUUACACAAAUUCGAAGAUUCU